rnacentral:rRNA from 1 species
CCUACGGGAGGCAGCAGUGGGGAAUAUUGCACAAUGGGGGAAACCCUGAUGCAGCGACGCCGCGUGAGUGAAGAAGUAUUUCGGUAUGUAAAGCUCUAUCAGCAGGGAAGAAAAUGACGGUACCUGAUUCAGAAGCCCCGGCUAACUACGUGCCAGCAGCCGCGGUAAUACGUAGGGGGCAAGCGUUAUCCGGAUUUACUGGGUGUAAAGGGAGCGUAGACGGCAGGACAAGUCUGGAGUGAAAUGCCGGGGCUUAACCCCGGAACUGCUUUGGAAACUGUGCAGCUAGAGUGCAGGAGAGGUAAGUGGAAUGCCUAGUGUAGCGGUGAAAUGCGUAGAUAUUAGGAAGAACACCAGUGGCGAAGGCGGCUUACUGGACUGUAACUGACGUUGAGGCUCGAAAGCGUGGGGAGCAAACAGGAUUAGAUACCCCUGUAGUC